AAGUUAUUUACUCAACAUUGAAUGUUUCAGUGUUUUAGUUGUGUCUCAGAUCAAUUAGUAGAACACGUGAACAAGACGGUAGCAGACAUAAACAAGACAAGAUAGCUCCCCUACGAUCGUCACACUUUUUCUGUUACAAACUGACACCGGCCCCCCCA